rnacentral:lncRNA from 1 species
UGUGGACAAGGUUGGAACUAGUGGUUCGCCUCGUGGUCUCUAGCGGGCUGGGCGACGCCACGAUCACUUCCUUUCCGUGUUUAGCUUCUCAAUCUUUCUUGUGCUCGUCUUAAAUUGCGUCGAUUACAAGUUGAAAAAGUGAUUUAAUUAUUCUGUUUUUGUGACUUGACAUGCUGGUGUGAUCGAAAAUCGUGUGUAUUGAGGUGGGAGUGUGUAAACUGGUGUGGAUUAUUGGGAUUUUGUGGCCGGCUAGGUUUGGCCGAUGUUAUGAAUGGCUGCCGGUCCAACUACAACGCUCGCCGCGUGGGUUUACUAAAACUGUUCACUCAGCUCUGUUUUGACUAGUACAUCACAAAAAAGAAAUGAUGUUCGUCAAUAAUAUGACCUGUUGUCUGUCUAUUUCAUGGCCUUGGAUGAAUGAAUUGGUGACAACCAGUAAGAUGUGCAGAUGGCGGAAGUGGAGGCUGACAAAAACUCAAAUAUCAUCAAUCAAGCCCGUUGAUGGAACUCUCACUGAGUGAGAAAGAGUGAUGCGCAUUCACAUGAUGGACACUGCUAAUAUGCAGAAUGUCGCCUUCUCAUUCCUGUAGCAGGCAACAGGAAGGGAUUGGAGGAUUUCACUUACGGGAUGAAUGAUCACAUGUGAAGAUAUUUGGAAAGGAGUUCUCACUGCGAGAAUUCUUCACCCUGUACAAGCUCUGAAGAUCGUCCAAUAGUUGUUCAGGCUUCAUGCUAUGGGGUUCUAUGGAUAGUUGAAUACCUGGAAAAAGUCCACAUGGGUUUCUGUCAUGAAUCUACACAAGAAAAUUUUCGUCAUUAGAUUGAAGCCAUCAUUCUCUGCUGGAUGAUCUAUAGCAACCAGGUUAUUUUGUUUUAGUUUAGCUUUAUAUUUUCUACGACUAUUUUCUGGAUUUUUUUGUAAUUUAUUCAAUGUAUGGCUCCUGGUAAUCUUGUGAUACUUUAUCACUUCACAAAUAGAAACUUAUGUUUUAGAAAUUCAUUUUUUUUGAAAUCCUUAGUAUAGAAAACGUAAUAUUUAUUAGGGAAAGAUCAAACUCAAAAUAUUUUCAAGCCAAAAUUGAUUUUCAUUCAAACUUGACUUGUUCAUAUUCUAACCUAACUCGUAAUCUUAUGAGUCACUUUUUCACUCUUACAAUGUGCUUGUUGAGUCCGGAGGCGUUACAAGGCAUAGAGUCAAGUAAACAUAUGCCACGCCCUACAACAUUUGACUGUUUCUUUUACCAAUUUUGCACGUAGUGCUUUUAUGUGGUGCUUAAGUCUCACCGAUCUUAGCUGGAUUCCCACAUGCCAGUUUCAGUACUCAGUGAAAAUAUUAUUCCCAUAUUGAGUUUCAAUGGAACUAUUCCUUAAAUAAGAUUAGUAGAAUUGAUGGUGAUGUUGUGAAAUCUCUCCAUAAUAAGAAAACAAAGAUAUUGUCAAAUUUCACUGAAGAUUUAUUAAAAACUUUAAAACAGUACCAUGGUUUCACGUUUACCAACGCAUCAUCAGCUGUACUGAGAAAUAAGGAUACAGAAACCUUCUUAACCCAAUCUCAGUAGCCUAGAGCUCCUAAAUAGUUGGGUGGCAAUAGUUAUAACUAGAGUAAUGAAUAUUUAAAAUAUAAUACACCUUAUUAGUUAGAUUCUAGGUAAAAUUAACUUUUUUCAAUAAAAAUAUUAAUAGGAAACUGGAUAAAGAAUUUUUUUUAUUUUUCUCUUUGAAAUGACCACUAUAUACAGCUGGUCUGUCACUCUGUCUCUGACUUGGAGACUGUCUAUCAUGUCUUUGGUAUUUGGCUUGACAAACUAUAUUUGAGAAAAAAAUUACUUGAA